UACGUAGGGCGCAAGCGUUGUCCGGAAUUAUUGGGCGUAAAGAGCUCGUAGGCGGCCUGUCGCGUCUGCUGUGAAAUCCCGGGGCUUAACCCCGGGCGUGCAGUGGAUACGGGCAGACUUGAGGCAUUCAGGGGAGAACGGAAUUCCUGGUGUAGCGGUGAAAUGCGCAGAUAUCAGGAGGAACACCGGUGGCGAAGGCGGUUCUCUGGGCAUGUCCUGACGCUGAGGAGCGAAAGUGUGGGGAGCGAACAGG
rnacentral:rRNA from 1 species